rnacentral:lncRNA from 10 species
AGAACUCUGCUGCAGUACUGGAAGCAGGCAGAUUAUUUAAAUUACGGUGGUGCCAUGGAACAAGAGAAGGCAGAUGAAGAGCGACACCCUUCAAGUUAACACAGGAACAAUUAACAAUAGAAUCCUUAAGAUGCAAAACUCCUUGCUGUUUACCAGCAACAGAAGAGAGGAAGAAGUGGCUCUGGGGGAAUUGCGUGCCAGUCUGCGGCAGGUUGGCUGGAGAAGCAGCCCUGGUUGGAGCUUUGGAGAGACACAUGUGCAUUUACUUGUUACCUGGAAGACCUUUUAAAAAAAAUUCUCGUAAAUCUGUCAUUUGUGUAUCCUCAAGGUUUGUGGCAGAAAGCAGAUAUAUCUGCUCCUGUGUGUAAUUGUUGUUAAAAAACACAAAAAGGAAAUAAAAGUGCACAACAUACCUAGCAGACUUGACCAGAGGGAAUUGGGAAAGGCCAAAGUAAAUUAUUCUAAAAAAUAAGCAAGCAAACCAGAAAAGGUUAAGAUGGAGAGGAGCUUAGAG